UAUCAGGCAAUGAGAAAGAAUAGUACAUAUGGAAUGUGACUUUUUCAGAGAGUUUGUGGUUGGUGUGAACAAACAGUUACUCAUAUGGAAUGGACUUUUGAGCUUCUAAGUGCAAAGCUUAGACGUAUUAUUCAACGUUACUGAAUACGAGCUGGCUUUUUAAAAGCAAGUAGGGUGGUACCGCGAACCGAUUCGUCCCUAGU
rnacentral:ncRNA from 1 species